rnacentral:rRNA from 1 species
CACCUGAUCCCAUCCCGAACUCAGAAGUGAAACGGAACUGCGCCGAUGAUAGUGUGGGGUCUCCCCAUGCGAAAGUAGGUCAUUGCCAGGC